CCGGAGACUAAAUCACAACAAAUUUAAUAUGGUUUGACUACUAACUUGCUUGCUUGCGUGCACGGAACGCAUAAAUCAAUAUUAUUGGAUUGGAAUUAGGGGGGAGACCACAAUUUAAAGGAGAGCAAAUUACAUAUAUAUCCUCACUCUCUUGUAAUUGUCUCACCUCUCUCUCUCUAUCACAAAUUGGCUCUCUUCUGCUGCUUACUGCUAAAAUUAAUUCACCGAAUGGGUGCCAACCCAUUAAGUAGCUAGGUUGUCUCUCAUAUGGGUAAGCUACACAAUUAAUCGAGCCCUGUGGCCUGUGUCAACAUGUUAACGAGUCGAACUACCAAGUCAUUCUAGGUUUCAGAACUAAUUUUAAGGUAUGUGUGGAUAACAAACUAAAAAUAAUAAUAAAUUAUUAUCAAAGAUGUACAAAAGCGUUAAUUACUAAGAAUAUUUGAUGUUUCAAAUCAUUCUAGGUUUCAGAACUAAUUUUAAGGUAUGUGUGGAUAACAAACUAAAAAUAAUAAUAAAUUAUUAUCAAAG
rnacentral:lncRNA from 1 species